GUCAAUAACCCCACCCUAAGAGGAUGGAUGGGGCUUGGUAGACAACCAACUACCGUGAUUGACUAGACCAUUGAGCCGAAUCCUGGUAAGAACUUCCAGAUGCUUCCCCAGUCUGGAUCUCUUUAAAACUGUGUUGUCAGUUGCUGCUUUGGGCAGGACAUCUUGGAUUCGGUGGUCAAGGGGACAGGGUAACCU
rnacentral:sRNA from 1 species